AGGACGAACGCUGGCGGCGUGCUUAACACAUGCAAGUCACGGGGGCCCGCAAGGGCAACCGGCGAACGGGUGCGUAACACGUGAGCAACCUGCCUUUGUGCGGGGGAUAGCCGGGCUAACGCCUGGGUAAUACCGCAUACGGUUCUCGAGGGGAGUCCCUUGGGAAAGAAACCUCCGGGGCACAGAGAGGGGCUCGCGGCCUAUCAGCUAGUUGGUGUGGGUAACGGCCCACCAAGGCGACGACGGGUAGCUGGUCUGAGAGGAUGGCCAGCCACAUUGGGACUGAGAAACGGCCCAGACUCCUACGGGAGGCAGCAGUGGGGAAUCUUGCGCAAGUGGACGAAAGUCUGACGCAGCGACGCCGCGUGUGGGAGGACGCCGUUUCGGGGUCGUAAACCGACGUGUUCGGACCCGGGUACGAACGACGUCUUCGUUUCGAGGACGCCGUGACGGUACCGGUGA
rnacentral:rRNA from 1 species